UGAAUCAGGAAGUUUAUACUACUGUGAG
rnacentral:sRNA from 1 species